GGGGAUUUAGCUCAGCGGUAGAGCGCUUGCCUAACAAGUGCAAGGUCCUGGGUUCGGUCCCCAGCUCCG
rfam:Rattus norvegicus chromosome 2, whole genome shotgun sequence.